GAUUCCCUAGUAAGGGCGACUGAAGCGGGAAGAGCUCACCGUGUGAAUCUGUGUAACCGAUGGCCUUGGUUGUCUGGUGCACCGAAUUGUGGUCUAUAGAAGCAUUGUCGGUCGCGGUCCCGGGCCAAGUCCCUUGGAAAAGGGCAGCUGAGAGGGUGAGACUCCCGUUCUUGCCUGGGAUCUGUGCGCCAUGGCACGUGCUUUCUACGAGUCGAGUUGCUUGGGAUUGCAGCUCAAAGUGGGUGGUAAAUUCCAUCUAAAGCUAAAUAUUGGUGGGAGACCGAUAGCGCACAAGUACCGUGAGGGAAAGAUGCAAAGAACUUUGAAAAGAGAGUUAAAGAGUACCUGAAAUUGCUGAAAGGGAAGCGAAGGAAACCAGUGCCGAAGUGCUGUCAUAUUUCUCCUACUGCUUGCGGUGGGGGCGCUGUGACUGUGCGUGGGUCAGCAUCGGCUUGUAUCUCAGAACAGUUGACUAGGUGGUAGACGACCCCUCUCGGGGGGUGAGUGCCAUCUGGACCUGUCUUGGGUGAGGCCGAGGUCAGUCAUUCUGUGCU
rnacentral:rRNA from 1 species